rnacentral:rRNA from 1 species
UACGUAGGGGGCAAGCGUUGUCCGGAAUCAUUGGGCGUAAAGCGCGUGUAGGCGGUCCGAUAAGUCGGCUGUGAAAGUCCAGGGCUCAACCCUCGAAUGCCGGUGGAUACUGUCGGGCUAGAGUACGGAAGAGGCGAGUGGAAUUCCUGGUGUAGCGGUGAAAUGCGCAGAUAUCAGGAGGAACACCAAUUGCGAAGGCAGCUCGCUGGGACGUUACUGACGCUGAGACGCGAAAGCGUGGGGAUCAAACAGG